CCCUUAGAUGUUCUGGGCUGCACGCGCGCUACACUGACGCACGCAACAGGUGCCUGCUCCGAGAGGACUGGGUAAUCAUUUGAGUGUGCGUCGUGAUGGGGAUAGAAUAUUGUAAUUAUUACUCUUCAACGAGGAAUUCCUAGUAAGCGCAAGUCAGCAGCUUGCGCUGAUUACGUCCCUGCCCUUUGUACACACCGCCCGUCGCUCCUACCGAUGGGUGAUCCGGUGAAUGAUUCGGACUUCAGCGGCUCCCCUGGGGUGCGCCGGAGAAAGUUUUGUGAACCUUAUCACUUGGAGGAAGGAGAAGUCGUAACA
rnacentral:rRNA from 1 species